rnacentral:lncRNA from 1 species
CACCAAGCAACCGAAUAAACGUCUCGGUUGUGGGCCCACCGGCGAAGCGGAUGUGCGUAUACAUCCGUUCUUCCGACGAAUCGAUUGGGAGAAAAUCGAGAAUCGUGAAGUGCAACCGCCAUUUAAGCCGAAAAUUAAACAUCGCAAAGAUGUCUCGAAUUUCGAUAAGCAAUUCACUUCGGAGAAAACGGAUCUGACACCAACGGAUAAAUUAUUUAUGAUGAAUUUCGACCAAACGGAAUUUAGGGGUUUCUCCUACGUGAAUCCGGACUAUGCGGUGCCAGUUUAAAAGCACUGAAUCUCCACAUACACACACCCAAAAGCACUUCGUUAGGCCAGCGUGUGUUGGAAUCGAAAGGACCCAACCACGAAAAGAAAAGCGAAAGCUGGGGAGAGAGAGCGGAAUUAAGCGAAUGAGAGGAUAUUGUCCUUUGGUGCGUAAGUGUAUACUUUGUUGCGAUGCGUGUUUUUCGAGCACACUGUACUUUCGUGUGAACGACGUGCCAUUAUAAGGCGCGAAAGCCAGAGUGCNGAACUUUAAUCCACUAAAACCAACCUACUCCCAACUCAAGGCUCUCCCACGGAACCACCAAAUAAGAUGUCUAAGAAUUGUCGUAAUGGAAGUUACCGCUUCGCGAGCAGACGACCUUCUUCAUGAACGAAGGGCAUUUGCCUGCAGCCUGUGAAAGGAAAAAGCUUCGAAAAUAUUACGCGGCGAGUUUUGGAUCAAGCACAUGCAAAGAAAUAUAAAUGUGCUCGGUAAAGGCUCUAUGCUAUAAAAGUGUUACGUCAUUAUAUAAACAGAUGAUAUGGAAUUGCCUAUGACUGAGAGAAGGUGUUCGCGCUCUCAGGUAAACCACCACGUUUGGUCUCACUACACUCGUGCUUUCAAACUAUGUGAUCUUAUGUCAGCAGAUUUAUGGCCGUCUCAAGGAAUCUGUAGUUAUGGAAGAGUUCUGAAGUAGAGCUUGCCGACUUCAGUUUGAGUAAGGAAGGUAUUGAAGAACGUGAUUCCAGGAGAACUUUCUGUGAUACCAAACUAUGAACCCUAUAACCAUACCCCCGAUUGGUGUUCUUUCGGUGUUUUGAUUUACGAAAUGUUGACGGACCGUAAUUCCUUCGAGGCUGAGGAUGAGGAGAACACGUUCAAAAAUAUUAAAGAUAAGAAAGCAGUCUUUCCGUAACACUUCUCUCAAGAGGCUAUGCAUGUGCGAGGCUGAGGAUGAGGAGAACACGUUCAAAAAUAUUAAAGAUAAGAAAGCAGUCUUUCCGAAACACUUCUCGCAAGAGGUUAUGGAUUUGCUAACAAGCUUUCUUGCUAAGAAGCCAAACAAUCGGUCAGAAAUGCCAGACGCUAUGCACGCUCUGAGGUAACCAUAUAUCCAUUCUUUAGGAAUAUUGACUGGUAUAAGACGGAAGCUAAGGGAAUGAAGCCACCAAUUGUGCCGCAAAUUGUAAACGCUGAGCUAAAAGCUUAACAGUCGUUAUCAAUAAGUGAUAACAUCGAAUUUCGAUAAAGUUUUCAUAACUGAGAAAGCAGACUUGACACCAACCGACGCGUUAUUUAUGAUGAACUUGGAGCAGAAUGACUUUAUAGGCUUUUCUUA